UACAGAGGUCCCAAGCGUUGUUCGGAUUCACUGGGCGUAAAGGGUGCGUAGGUGGCCAGGUAAGUUUGGUGUGAAAGCUCGGAGCUUAACUCCGAAAAGUCAUUGAAUACUAUCUGGCUGGAGGGUCGGAGGGGAGACUGGAAUUCUCGGUGUAGCAGUGAAAUGCGUAGAUAUCGAGAGGAACACCAGUGGCGAAGGCGAGUGCUCUGGACGACUCCUGA
rnacentral:rRNA from 1 species